AGCCUGAACGCUGGCGGCGUGGCUAAGACAUGCAAGUCGUACGGGUGUAGCAAUACACCAGUGGCGAACGGGUGAGUAAUGUAUCGCUAAUGUGCCCCGGAUUCUGGGAUAGCUAUCCGAAAGGGUAGGUAAUACCAGAUGAUAUAACUUUGCCGCAUGGCAGAGUUCUCAAAGGAGUAAUCCGCUCUGGGAGCAGGCGAUAUCGUAUCAGCUAGUUGGUGAGGUAACGGCUCACCAAGGCGACGACGCGUAGCCGGACUGAGAGGUUGGCCGGCCACAUUGGGACUGAGACACUGCCCAGACUCCUACGGGGGGCUGCAGUAACGAAUCUUCCGCAAUGCACGAAAGUGUGACGGAGCGACGCCGCGUGUGGGACGAAGCCCUUCGGGGUGUAAACCACUGUCAGGGGUUAGAAAGUUCUGAUCAACCCCAGAGGAAGGCACGGCUAACUCUGUGCCAGCAGCCGCGGU
rnacentral:rRNA from 1 species